rnacentral:rRNA from 1 species
GACGAACGCUGGCGGCGUGCUUAACACAUGCAAGUCGAACGGAAAGGCCCCCAUCUUGGUGGGGGUGCUCGAGUGGCGAACGGGUGAGUAACACGUGGGUGAUCUGCCCUGUACUUCGGGAUAAGCUUGGGAAACUGGGUCUAAUACCGGAUAGGACCAUGGUUUAGUGUCUCAUGGUGGCAAGAUUAUUGUUUUGGUGCAGGAUGAGCUCGCGGCCUAUCAGCUUGUUGGUGGGGUAAUGGCCUACCAAGGCGUCGACGGGUAGCCGGCCUGAGAGGGGGGACGGCCACACUGGGACUGGGAUACGGCCCAGACUCGUACGGGAGGCAGGAGUGGGGAGUAAUGCACAAUGGGCGUGAUCCUGAUGCAGCGACGCCGCGUGGGGGAUGACGGCCUUCGGGUGGUAAACUCGUUUCGUUAGGGGCGAAGCCGCGCUUUUGGGGUGUGGUGACGGUACCUUUGUUAAGAAGCACCGGCUAACUACGUG